rnacentral:rRNA from 1 species
GAUGAACGCUGGCGGCGUGCCUAAUACAUGCAAGUCGAGCGAACAGACGAGGAGCUUGCUCCUCUAACGUUAGCGGCGGACGGGUGAGUAACACGUGGAUAACCUACCUAUAAGACUGGGAUAACUUCGGGAAACCGGAGCUAAUACCGGAUAAUAUAUUGAACCGCAUGGUUCAAUAGUGAAAGACGGUUUUGCUGUCACUUAUAGAUGGAUCCGCGCCGCAUUAGCUAGUUGGUAAGGUAACAGCUUACCAAGGCAACGAUGCGUAGCCGACCUGAGAGGGUGAUCGGCCACACUGGAACUGAGACACGGUCCAGACUCCUACGGGAGGCAGCAGUAGGGAAUCUUCCGCAAUGGGCGAAAGCCUGACGGAGCAAUGCCGCGUGAGUGAUGAAGGUCUUCGGAUCGUAAAACUCUGUUAUUAGGGAAGAACAAAUGUGUAAGUAACUAUGCACGUCUUGACGGUACCUAAUCAGAAAGCCACGGCUAACUACGUG